rnacentral:rRNA from 1 species
AUUGAACGCUGGCGGCAGGCUUAACACAUGCAAGUCGAGCGGAGAUGAGGUGCUUGCACCUUAUCUUAGCGGCGGACGGGUGAGUAAUGCUUAGGAAUCUGCCUAUUAGUGGGGGACAACAUUCCGAAAGGAAUGCUAAUACCGCAUACGUCCUACGGGAGAAAGCAGGGGAUCUUCGGACCUUGCGCUAAUAGAUGAGCCUAAGUCGGAUUAGCUAGUUGGUGGGGUAAAGGCCUACCAAGGCGACGAUCUGUAGCGGGUCUGAGAGGAUGAUCCGCCACACUGGGACUGAGACACGGCCCAGACUCCUACGGGAGGCAGCAGUGGGGAAUGUUGGACAAUGGGGGGAACCCUGAUCCAGCCAUGCCGCGUGUGUGAAGAAGGCCUUAUGGUUGUAAAGCACUUUAAGCGAGGAGGAGGCUACUGAGACUAAUACUCUUGGAUAGUGGACGUUACUCGCAGAAUAGGCACCGGCUAACUCUGUGCCAGCCGCCGCGGUAAUAC